rnacentral:rRNA from 1 species
GACGAAGGGGGCUAGCGUUGCUCGGAAUCACUGGGCGUAAAGGGCGCGUAGGCGGCGUUUUAAGUCGGGGGUGAAAGCCUGUGGCUCAACCACAGAAUGGCCUUCGAUACUGGGACGCUUGAGUAUGGUAGAGGUUGGUGGAACUGCGAGUGUAGAGGUGAAAUUCGUAGAUAUUCGCAAGAACACCGGUGGCGAAGGCGGCUCUCUGGACCGAGACUGACGCUGAGGCGCGAAAGCGUGGGGAGCAAACAGG